UACGUAGGGGGCUAGCGUUGUCCGGAAUCAUUGGGCGUAAAGAGCGCGUAGGCGGCCAGAUAAGUCCGGUGUGAAAGUCAAAGGCUCAACCUUUGAAUGCCGCUGGAAACUGUCUGGCUAGAGUCCGGGAGGGGCGACUGGAAUUCCUGGUGUAGCGGUGAAAUGCGCAGAUAUCAGGAAGAACACCAAUGGCGAAAGCAGCUCUCUGGGACGGUACUGACGCUGAGACGCGAAAGCGUGGGGAGCGA
rnacentral:rRNA from 1 species